UACGUAGGGUGCGAGCGUUGUCCGGAAUUAUUGGGCGUAAAGGGCUCGUAGGCGGUUUGUCGCGUCGGGAGUGAAAACGCUGGGCUUAACUCAGUGCUUGCUUCCGAUACGGGCAGACUAGAGGUAUUCAGGGGAGAACGGAAUUCCUGGUGUAGCGGUGAAAUGCGCAGAUAUCAGGAGGAACACCGGUGGCGAAGGCGGUUCUCUGGGAAUGUCCUGACGCUGAGGAGCGAAAGUGUGGGGAGCGAACAGG
rnacentral:rRNA from 1 species